CUGCGUUCUGCGGCUGUUUUUAACGGCGUCACGUCGGCGGCGCUGUUAUCAAAGUCACGCUUCCGCUGCCAUAACUGUCCUAUGCCGAAAUAUGCACUAAAACAUCUAACAACCACUGUAUAUCUCUCUGUUGCACACGCACAGACAACGCAAAGUCACCUUCGCUAUUGACAUUUCACGUAGACACACGUGGACGUAGCGUAAGCGCGCUACGUUCCCCCCUUUACCAAGGAACCUUGCCAUCGUCCCUAUUAAUAUGUUGGUAUUAAACAACGUAUUAUCCUAUCCCCGUGUAGCUUUUUAAUAUACCUUAUAACAAGAGCCUCGAGACUAUUAAUGUUAUUAGGAGUCGGUGCAUCCAGGUCCAGCUGCCCCACCAUAGACAGAGCAUGUAGCUGCACGGCUACUUCCUACAGUUUGACAGCUCCAAGUCUCCUCCGGUUGGCAUUGUGGCGCCGCCCACAUCCAGGUACCGUGCGGUGCUUCAAGUGAUGCAGCAUUGUUAUGCUAUUGUAGUAGUUUCAGUCUGCCUCCAUUGCAUUCUGCUUAUUCAGGCAGUGGAGGAGAUGUGUGUGUGUGUGUGUGUGUGUGUGUGUGUGUGUGUGUGUGUGUGUGUGUGUGUGUGUGUGUGUGUGUGUGUGUGUGUGUGUGUGUGUGUGUGUGUGUGUGUGUGUGUGUGUGUGUGUGUGUGUGUGUGGUAUAAUCAUAGUUGAUUCAUAUAUAAAAAAAAAGAUUCAUAAUUGAGUUGAUUAACGUUUCCCAAAUAUUAGCAAAUGCCAUGUCAAGUUACCAGAGUGCAAAGCUAUUUCUUAAAUGCGCUGACUUUAUCUGACAAGCAGGCCAGAAAAACGGAACUAUUCCACUAUAAUGUUCUUUGAACCCAAUAUUUGACUUAGAAUUACAACAUUAUCAGGCAAAGUUUAUUUGUAGUAAAUAAAUAAUACGUUUAAUCGAUUUAUCAUUAUCGGAUUCAACAAAUCCUCCAGUGAUCAACUACUCUAUUAAUCAAUGAAUUGUUGCAGACCUAUAACAGAGCGAUUAUGUGGUGUAAAUUGACCCUGUCACAAACCCACAGCCUGCCUUUGUUCAGUUUCCUUCUUCACUUAUAACAUGAGGUCAUAGGUUGCAUGUUCCUGUAUAACACUCUCAAUAGACUGUGUUCACAUCCAUUCAUUCAUAUGUGUUAGUCCUGUGGUUAAACGUUCUAGAAUCUUUGGAGAUUCCAUGACAACUCAAUGGAAAUGCAUUCUAAAUGUUACCUGGGUGGGGAAAUGGUAUAGGCAGAACAAAAAAAAUAAUGCAUAAGGUUGGUGUGCUAUUGAUAUGGUCACUUGGUGUCGUAACCUUCUGUAUUUUGGUUGCAUUAAUUCUCUCAAUGUAAGGAACAAAAGCAAACGAUACGUUUCAGGAUAUUUCAUUAUAGUAAAGCUAUGUAUUAAAAAGGAAGAGACUUUUGAGUUUGUCUGUCUGAAACUCCAUUAAUGAGUAAUUUCAGUUUCGCCACACUGGCUGGAUUAUUCUACUUCAUGUUAUUUCAACCAAAUCGCUAUGUACAGUACAUAUCUGAUUAAUAUUGAGUCCAAUCUUCCUUUGUCAAUGAUGACCAAAUCAAUCUAAUAGUUGUGGCAUUAUCGAAUCGGCAAAUACUGCACACUGCCAAGCACUGGCACAUCUUCGUGUGUGUGUGUGUGUGUGUGUGUGUGUGUGUGUGUGUGUGUGUGUGUGUGUGUGUGUGUGUGUGUGUGUGUGUGUGUGUGUGUGUGUGUGUGUGUGUGUGUGUGUGUGUGUAAUUGAAAAUGAAUGUGUUAACAUUAAAGCAAUAUUUACUGUAUCAGAUUGAUUCAAAAUCUCACCAAAUCGCACCGGAUCGUUAGAACAUUGAAUCAAAUCGCUUCGUCUAAAAAUGUAUUGUCCCUGAAUCGUAUCAUACCACAUGUAGAUACGUAUCGGAUCGUCCUAUGAAGGAGAGAUGCCGCCCCUAGUAAAUGUACAUAUAUUUAUAUAUAUAUGUUCUCUUAGUAUUCAUCUGCUACUAUACUUAUAACAAGCUGGGGCUUCGGGCUGUCCUUCAGAGGGGAAGGUGGUCCGAACAGAGCAAGUGUUUUCAGAGGCAGAGGUGGCGGACCCGUGGUCAGGCUAAUCUCGUAGAGUCAAUACUCCCUUCCCGACGGUCAAUAGUGAGGGACGACCCGAGUUGUGUCGCAACCUGCCCGGAGCAUAUCGUCAUUUCAUUCAUUACCAGUUCAUCUCUCCUCCCACACCUAUUAACCUUCUAAAACCUCACGCAAGCCAAUACGCUGUCAGCUCUGAUGGAAUGCAAAUGAUACACUUGAUUACAGUUUGAAGUGUAUGUUCUGCAGCAGUCUUGGCAUUUCCGAUGGACAAAUUCACACUGUGCAUGUGUACACAUGUGCGAUGUAAUAAUUAAAUGAAACAACGUUGUCAUAA